rnacentral:rRNA from 1 species
UACGUAGGGGGCAAGCGUUGUCCGGAAUUAUUGGGCGUAAAGAGCGCGUAGGCGGUCCGAUAAGUCGGCUGUGAAAGUCAAGGGCUCAACCCUUGAAAGCCGGCCGAUACUGUCGGACUAGAGUCCGGAAGAGGCGAGUGGAAUUCCCGGUGUAGCGGUGAAAUGCGCAGAUAUCAGGAAGAACACCUAUGGCGAAGGCAGCUCUCUGGGACGGUACUGACGCUGAGACGCGAAAGCGUGGGGAGCGAACAGG